CACGUAGGGCGCAAGCGUUGUCCGGAAUUAUUGGGUGUAAAGAGCUCGUAGGCGGUCUGUUGCGUCCGCUGUGAAAACCCGGGGCUUAACCCUGGGCUGGCAGUGGAUACGGACAGACUAGAGGUAGGUAGGGGAGAAUGGAAUUCCCGGUGUAGCGGUGAAGUGCGCAGAUAUCGGGAGGAACACCGGUGGCGAAGGCGGUUCUCUGGGCCUUACCUGACGCUGAGGAGCGAAAGCGUGGGGAGCGAACAGG
rnacentral:rRNA from 1 species